rnacentral:lncRNA from 1 species
AAAUUCAGUCUGUGUGUCACCGUAAAAUACAUUGCCCGUAGAUGAGUGGAACUUUACAAAACAAGGCGUGUGUUCAGCUCUUCGUCCUCAUCCCACACGCUGCGAGAGCAAGUGGAGGGCAGGGAAGGGAGAGGGAGGUCAGAGCUGAGACAGGACGAGGCAAGGCGAAGCUCUCCAGGUUAUUAUUGUUCCAGUAAUUAGAGCUAUAGUAAUUCCCAUUAUUCCCAGGAUGCUUACACAGAAGCUGUUUGUAUUCCACAAACCUCCCCAGCUACUCAGAACGGAUUUACCUAGUGCAAGGAAACAACUUGUCUGUAGCCUGCCAAGGACACCAGACUCUUUAUGCAACCAAGGAGAUGGUAGUCACCACCAAGACAAUUGCUAUGAAACAGGCAACCAACAAUAAGGGACCAGCUAUAUGAAGAGCACCUACCUCUGGUGUAUGGACACCAGCAACUUGAGAUCAUAUACAUUCUCCCACCCGCGUUAGUGGUGCCCCUCUCAUUAGGUUGGACUUCCUGUGCAGAAACAGGUCCAUGUGCUCAUCAAGCAAGAUAUAAAGUGUCUAGUGCUUGUCUGGUUCUUACUAAAACAUCAUAUGAAUUAUAAACAUCACCUUUGUUUCUUGACCUGUUGUAUCUCCUGCAAUCUUACAUGACACUGCUAAUAGGAAUCUUUAUUUAUAUCCUAACAAGAUGCUUAUAUGUUAUGUUCUUUUCCUCUCCAACACAUCUAUUUCAGAAUAAGGCUUUUCAUGCAAACCCUUUGUUUCCAGAAAGCAUCACAAACUUCUUGAGCAUCGUUGUAAUUUAAAUGAUUAACUAAAAUAUCAGUAAAUAGUAACAUACAAGAAAACGCAUCUCAAAAGAUAUGGAGCUGACUUGAUGAGACCACAAAAUAUUGUCACCUUAUAAUUAAUUUACUCAGCUAAAAUCUCUCCUCUCUGAAACUAAGAGGCACUUGAUUUAAAUUACCAAUGGGGAAAGGUCCCUAGCACACGCUGGGGAAGAAGGCUUGGGACCAUGCUUUGUCAUCAUUCAGUUUGAAGUAUGGAGAAAAAAAAGACAAGCCAUGGACACCAGUGCAAAUGUUUCUGCAAAAAUCAUAAACUGUCUGAGAACCAUCUGAGUCACUAAGUCCCCCUUCCUUGGUUUUGCAGGUGAACUUGCAAUAUGCAGUAGGUCCAGAAGGUCCAUAACAACAUAUACCAAAUGAUGCCAGAGCUUCAGCGUUGGUGAUUCUGGAGCAAUGACAUGAUGCAGGACCACAAGAAGAAAGGUGUCCUGAGCCCUGGCAGUAUCAGAGAAUUCCCUAAAUGAAAACACAUGGAUGCAGCUAGGAAAGCCUCAAUCCUCUACCCUGCAAAGAAAGUCAAGAAAUUCCUCUUGGACCCAACACCUGGCAGU